AGAGUUUGAUCCUGGCUCAGGAUGAACGCUAGCGACAGGCCUAACACAUGCAAGUCGAGGGGCAGCGAGAAUAAAGCUUGCUUUAUUUGUCGGCGACCGGCGCACGGGUGAGUAACGCGUAUGCAACCUUCCGCUACUCGGGGGAUAACCCGAAGAAAUUCGGACUAACACCGUAUGUGCUUAUGAUUCGCAUGAAUUUUAAGUGAAAAGUUAUGAGUAGCGAUGGGCAUGCGUAUGAUUAGCUAGUUGGCGGGGUAACGGCCCACCAAGGCGACGAUCAUUAGGGGUUCUGAGAGGAAGGUCCCCCACACUGGUACUGAGACACGGACCAGACUCCUACGGGAGGCAGCAGUGAGGAAUAUUGGUCAAUGGGCGAGAGCCUGAACCAGCCAAGUCGCGUGAAGGAUGACUGAUCUAUGGUUUGUAAACUUCUUUUAUAAGGGAAUAAAGUGCAGCACGUGUGCUGUUUUGUAUGUACCUUAUGAAUAAGCAUCGGCUAACUCCGUGCCAGCAGCCGCGGUAAUACGGAGGAUGCGAGCGUUAUCCGGAUUUAUUGGGUUUAAAGGGUGCGUAGGCGGGUUGAUAAGUCAGUGGUGAAAGUUUGCGGCUCAACCGUAAAAUUGCCGUUGAAACUGUCGAUCUUGAGUGCAAACGAGGCAGGCGGAAUGCGCCGUGUAGCGGUGAAAUGCUUAGAUAUGGCGCAGAACCCCGAUUGCGAAGGCAGCUUGCCAGCAUGCAACUGACGCUGAGGCACGAAAGCGUGGGUAUCAAACAGGAUUAGAUACCCUGGUAGUCCACGCAGUAAACGAUGAAUGCUAGCUGUUUGCGAUAUAGUGUAAGCGGCACAGCGAAAGCGUUAAGCAUUCCACCUGGGGAGUACGACCGCAAGGUUGAAACUCAAAGGAAUUGACGGGGGCCCGCACAAGCGGAGGAACAUGUGGUUUAAUUCGAUGAUACGCGAGGAACCUUACCCGGGCUUGAAAUGCAGAGUGAUAAAUUGGAAACAGUUUAGUCAGCAAUGAACUCUGUGUAGGUGCUGCAUGGUUGUCGUCAGCUCGUGCCGUGAGGUGUCGGCUUAAGUGCCAUAACGAGCGCAACCCUUACCGUUAGUUGCCAUCGGGUAAUGCCGGGGACUCUGGCGGGACUGCCACCGUAAGGUGUGAGGAAGGCGGGGAUGACGUCAAAUCAGCACGGCCCUUACGUCCGGGGCGACACACGUGUUACAAUGGGGGGUACAGAGGGUAGCUACCUGGCGACAGGAUGCCAAUCUCAAAAAGCCUCUCUCAGUUCGGAUCGGAGUCUGCAACUCGACUCCGUGAAGCUGGAUUCGCUAGUAAUCGCGCAUCAGCCAUGGCGCGGUGAAUACGUUCCCGGGCCUUGCACUCACCGCCCGUCA
rnacentral:rRNA from 1 species